CCUACGGGUGGCAGCAGUGGGGAAUAUUGGACAAUGGGGGCAACCCUGAUCCAGCCAUGCCGCGUGUGUGAAGAAGGCCCUCGGGUUGUAAAGCACUUUCAGUGAGGAAGAACGCCUGGUGGUUAAUACCCAUCAGGAAAGACAUCACUCACAGAAGAAGCACCGGCUAACUCCGUGCCAGCAGCCGCGGUAAUACGGAGGGUGCGAGCGUUAAUCGGAAUUACUGGGCGUAAAGCGCGCGUAGGUGGCUUGAUAAGCCGGUUGUGAAAGCCCCGGGCUCAACCUGGGAACGGCAUCCGGAACUGUCAAGCUAGAGUGCAGGAGAGGAAGGUAGAAUUCCCGGUGUAGCGGUGAAAUGCGUAGAGAUCGGGAGGAAUAGCAGUGGCGAAGGCGGCCUUCUGGACUGACACUGACACUGAGGUGCGAAAGCGUGGGUAGCAAACAGGAUUAGAUACCCUAGUAGUC
rnacentral:rRNA from 1 species